AUUUCCCUACGGGGGGGAGCAGUGGGGAAUAUUGCACAAUGGGGGAAACCCUGAUGCAGCGACGCCGCGUGAGUGAAGAAGUAUUUCGGUAUGUAAAGCUCUAUCAGCAGGGAAGAAGAAGGACGGUACCUGAGUAAGAAGCCCCGGCUAACUACGUGCCAGCAGCCGCGGUAAUACGUAGGGGGCAAGCGUUAUCCGGAUUUACUGGGGGUAAAGGGAGCGUAGCCGGCGAAGAAA
rnacentral:rRNA from 1 species